rnacentral:rRNA from 1 species
GACGAACGCUGGCGGCGUGCCUAAUACAUGCAAGUAGAACGCACAGUUUAUACCGUAGCUUGCUACACCAUAGACUGUGAGUUGCGAACGGGUGAGUAACGCGUAGGUAACCUGCCUGGUAGCGGGGGAUAACUAUUGGAAACGAUAGCUAAUACCGCAUAAUAUUAAUUAUUGCAUGAUAAUUAAUUGAAAGGUGCAAUUGCACCACUACCAGAUGGACCUGCGUUGUAUUAGCUAGUAGGGGAGGUAACGGCUCACCUAGGCGACGAUACAUAGCCGACCGGGUAGGGUGAUCGGCCACACUGGGACUGGGACACGGCCCAGACUCCUACGGGAGGCAGCAGUAGGGAAUCUUCGGCAAUGGACGCAAGUCUGACCGAGCAACGCCGCGUGAGUGAAGAAGGUUUUCGGAUCGUAAAGCUCUGUUGUAAGAGAAGAACGGGUGUGAGAGUGGAAAGUUCACACUGUGACGGUAUCUUACCAGAAAGGGACGGCUAACUACGUG